rnacentral:lncRNA from 1 species
AUUGAAAGCCAGGGAAAGGAACAUGAACAGAGAAGGCCUCCACACUUGAGGAUACCUAAUUGUCUUGAACAUGCUUCUAAUAGUCGUUCGUACACUCUCCACCACUGCCUGUGAAAUCUCAUGUGUCUAGUUAUAUAAUGCAGGUAACAAGCAUAUAGAUGCAGAAAUUCCAAAAUAGGAAAAUUCCUAGUUUUUGUCUAUCGUUUCUAAAACACCAUGUAUCUUGAAAUACAUAGCAAUUAGCAUACUCUAAAAAACUAAUAAG